GAUCCUGGCCAUGCCACCGUUGAACAAGCCUGAUCGUGUCUGAUCUCGGAAGCUAAGCAGAGUCGGGCCUGGUUAGUACUUGGAUGGGAGACCACCUAGGAAGACCAGGUGCUGUAGGCA
rnacentral:rRNA from 1 species